GGUCUCUUAGCUCAAUGGCUAGAGCGGAUGACCAUUGCUCAUCAGAUCUGAGUUCGAUUCUCAGAGAGACCA
rnacentral:tRNA from 1 species